ACCUUUUACUUUUGAAAACACAAAUUAACAUCCAUCCCAUUCUUACACCAGUCACCACUGACCACAAUACAGGGACGUCUGAUCACAAAGUCAACAAUGAAAGGCAUUGAGUGUGGAAAUAAUGGCACAUCUGUGUGUGGGGAGAGAUGUGCCAUCCAGCUGCUGGCAGGUAAACAGAGACGAGCCUGUCCCACCACAGCAUGUGAUGCCAGGAAACAUAUAAAAAGACCCGCCGGCAAAUGUGUGAUUCAAUGCGCACACUGACAUUUAGCACUUUGUUUCAAUUUGUUCGGCAUCCACCUCUUUUAUCCAAGAUGAGAAUUAGUGUACCCAUAAUCCUCUUUGUUGCAGCGACAGGUUUGUACAUUUUUGUGUUUGGAGUGAUUUCAGCAUCUCUGCAAUGUGACGAAAGGACUAAAUUGCCAGAAGAGAGAGCGUUUGAAGAGAACAGCACGACUCCACAAACAGAUGAGUCGGAGUAUGAGGCUGCUCAUGUGAAAGAUGGAGAGACAAAGGCAGUGACAGACACUACAGAGCAAAACUUGCUUGAGAAGGAAGAUAGUCAUGAUGGUGAGAGAGAGGCGCUGACAGAUGCUACAGGCGCGAACACCGGAAGUGACGCGCCCAUAGAUUCAGACUCUGGGGACGACACCUCUCAACAGAACACAGAACACAGUGAGCAUGUGGAAGAGAAUGUGAAAAGUUCUGAGGAUUUCAGUGAUGAAGAAUACGAUGUAUAUUACGAUUAAGACAGUGUGAAGCAGCUGUGUGUAAUCCAUCUAACAUCUUUAAAACUAAAUGCAUUGUUUUAUAAAGCAUGUUGCUGAACAUUCUAACCAACCGUGUGUACCACCUGGACAAAAAACAUGCAUGGUGGCCUUUCACACAAUUUGUGAUGGCUGCUUUUUUUUUUUCCAAAUAAAGACUGUAAACACUGGCGGGUGUCCAGAGUUCAUAUUAAUGCCAGGCUGCAGGUGGGUGUAAUAACAGAUGAUUACAUGGCUUCUUAGAGGCAACCGUCUGAGUAGCAGAUGUAGGCAGUGUUAGAACAUAUCUAGGACGGUUAUCCAGGCCAGUCCUUGGGUGCUCAUUUGAGCUUUAUUUAUAUCAUCUUAUUUUUGGACCGAAGAUGCAUCAUUGCCCGUCCCCAAGUCCCACAACCUGAUGAGGACAAGUUGUUUUACUGCAUAUAGAAAAAGACUCUUAAACUCUCAAGAAAUGCUUUUUGUCAUUUUUGAAGGAAAUUUUGAUAGGUUUGUUAAUAAAUGCAUGUCUCGUCUGAUACAAUCAUUAUUUUAAUGGCCAAAAUAACGUGUAGAGUUUUGCCUGAUUUGAACCAGAAAUACAAUUAAAAUUAA
rnacentral:lncRNA from 1 species